CGCCUGGGGAGUACGGCCGCAAGGUUAAAACUCAAAUGAAUUGACGGGGGCCCGCACAAGCGGUGGAGCAUGUGGUUUAAUUCGACGGAACGCGAAGAACCUUACCUGGCCUUGACAUCCAGAGAACUUUCCAGAGAUGGAUUGGUGCCUUCGGGAACUCUGAGACAGGUGCUGCAUGGCCGUCGUCAGCUCGUGUCGUGAGAUGUUGGGUUAAGUCCCGUAACGAGCGCAACCCCUAUCCCUGGUUGCUAGCAGGUAAUGCUGAGAACUCCAGGGAGACUGCCGGUGACAAACCGGAGGAAGGUGGGGAUGACGUCAGGUCAUCAUGGCCCUUACGGCCAGGGCUACACACGUGCUACAAUGGCGCGUACAGAGGGCUGCCAACUCGCGAGAGUGAGCCAAUCCCUUAAAACGCGUCGUAGUCCGGAUCGGAGUCUGCAACUCGACUCCGUGAAGUCGGAAUCGCUAGUAAUCGCGAAUCAGAAUGUCGCGGUGAAUACGUUCCCGGGCCUUGUACACACCGCCCGCCACACCAUGGGAGUGGAUUGCACCAGAAGUAGUUAGUCUAACCUUCGGGAGGACGAUUACCACGGUGUGGUUCAUGACUGGGGUGAAGUCGUAACAAGGUAACCGUA
rnacentral:rRNA from 1 species